UUCUGUUUUACCUGUGCUGUUUAGAUGGAGAAAGGAAGGGUAGACAGGAGGACAGAAAGAGAUGGUGUUAUGUAUUUCUUUCAACAGAAACUUCAGUAGCAGACUCCCUUGAUAGGCAGUAAGCUGUAAUACCAGAUAUGUCCUUGUACCCUGAAGAGUUUGGGAUUAUGGCAACGUUGCAAGAAGUCAGGAGCCAACUGAAAAUUCUGUUGCAGAUGUAAAAUUCAGAGCUACAAGUAUAUCAUGUGUCCAAAGAGGUGUUUCCAGUGAGAAAGCUUGGAAGCUGCAAUCCUACCCCAUUAAGAAAUGAAGCUGUGGCUCUUGGUUGCUGUUAUUAUUGGCAAAAUAGUGUCAAUAGACUGAAUGCUGAAGAGUAUGUGGCACGCAUAAGGUUCUUGUGUGAUUUUGGAAGAGAAAGUUUUAGUUGUGACCCACCAGAAUAAAAGACAUAUCAAAGCUGUACUGAGUGGCCUCUGUGACAAAAUGAGACUGAAACAACUGCACUUUAGUGUUAUGAUCAUGCAAGAAUGCAUCAGAGGUUGGCUGUAGAUUUCUCACUGGUUG